rnacentral:tRNA from 1 species
GGCGGAGUAGAGCAGCACGGUAGCUCGCCAGCCUCAUAAGCUGGAGGACGCUGGUUCAAAUCCAGCCCCCGCACCCA